rnacentral:rRNA from 1 species
GAUGAACGCUGGCGGCGUGCCUAAUACAUGCAAGUCGAGCGAACAGACGAGGAGCUUGCUCCUCUGACGUUAGCGGCGGACGGGUGAGUAACACGUGGAUAACCUACCUAUAAGACUGGGAUAACUUCGGGAGACCGGAGCUAAUACCGGAUAAUAUAUUGAACCGCAUGGUUCAAUAGUGAAAGACGGUUUUGCUGUCACUUAUAGAUGGAUCCGCGCCGCAUUAGCUAGUUGGUAAGGUAACGGCUUACCAAGGCGACGAUGCGUAGCCGACCUGAGAGGGUGAUCGGCCACACUGGAACUGAGACACGGUCCAGACUCCUACGGGAGGCAGCAGUAGGGAAUCUUCCGCAAUGGGCGAAAGCCUGACGGAGCAACGCCGCGUGAGUGAUGAAGGUCUUCGGAUCGUAAAACUCUGUUAUUAGGGAAGAACAAAUGUGUAAGUAACUACGCACGUCUUGACGGUACCUAAUCAGAAAGCCACGGCUAACUACGUG